GGGGCUGUAGCUCAGUGAUAGAGCACUUGCCUCGCAUGCAUGAGGCCCUGGGUUUAAUCCUCAGCACCA
rnacentral:tRNA from 1 species